GACUGGGGUGAAGUCGUAACAAGGUAGCCGUAGGGGAACCUGCGGCUGGAUCACCUCCUUAACGAA
rnacentral:rRNA from 2 species